CCUACGGGAGGCAGCAGUGGGGAAUAUUGGGCAAUGGGCGCAAGCCUGACCCAGCAACGCCGCGUGAAGGAAGAAGGCUUUCGGGUUGUAAACUUCUUUUAAGGGGGAAGAGCAGAAGACGGUACCCCUUGAAUAAGCCACGGCUAACUACGUGCCAGCAGCUGCGGUAAUACGUAGGUGGCAGGCGUUGUCCGGAUUUACUGGGUGUAAAGGGCGUGCAGCCGGGGAGACAAGUCAGAUGUGAAAUCCACGGGCUCAACCCGUGAACUGCAUUUGAAACUGUUUCCCUUGAGUGUCGGAGAGGUAAUCGGAAUUCCUUGUGUAGCGGUGAAAUGCGUAGAUAUAAGGAAGAACACCAGUGGCGAAGGCGGAUUACUGGACGAUAACUGACGGUGAGGCGCGAAAGCGUGGGGAGCAAACAGGAUUAGAUACCCGAGUAGUC
rnacentral:rRNA from 1 species